rnacentral:rRNA from 1 species
ACGAACGCUGGCGGCGCGCCUAACACAUGCAAGUCGAACGGAGCUGAGAGAAGCUUGCUUUUCUUAGCUUAGUGGCGAACGGGUGAGUAACGCGUGAGUAACCUGCCCUGGAGUGGGGGACAACAGUUGGAAACGACUGCUAAUACCGCAUAAGCCCACGAUCCGGCAUCGGAUUGGGGGAAAAGGAUUUAUUCGCUUCAGGAUGGACUCGCGUCCAAUUAGCUAGUUGGUGAGGUAACGGCCCACCAAGGCGACGAUUGGUAGCCGGACUGAGAGGUUGAACGGCCACAUUGGGACUGAGACACGGCCCAGACUCCUACGGGAGGCAGCAGUGGGGGAUAUUGCACAAUGGGGGAAACCCUGAUGCAGCGACGCCGCGUGGAGGAAGAAGGUUUUCGGAUUGUAAACUCCUGUCGUUAGGGACGAUAAUGACGGUACCUAACAAGAAAGCACCGGCUAACUACGUG